rnacentral:rRNA from 1 species
UCUUCCCUAGGGGUAACCUGCGGAGGGAUCAUUACACAAAUAUGAAGGCGGGCUGGAACCUCUCGGGGUUACAGCCUUGCUGAAUUAUUCACCCUUGUCUUUUGCGUACUUCUUGUUUCCUUGGUGGGUUCGCCCACCACUAGGACAAACAUAAACCUUUUGUAAUUGCAAUCAGCGUCAGUAACAAAUUAAUAAUUACAACUUUCAACAACGGAUCUCUUGGUUCUGGCAUCGAUGAAGAACGCAGCGAAAUGCGAUAAGUAGUGUGAAUUGCAGAAUUCAGUGAAUCAUCGAAUCUUUGAACGCACAUUGCGCCCUUUGGUAUUCCAAAGGGCAUGCCUGUUCGAGCGUCAUUUGUACCCUCAAGCUUUGCUUGGUGUUGGGCGUCUUGUCUCUAGCUUUGCUGGAGACUCGCCUUAAAGUAAUUGGCAGCCGGCCUACUGGUUUCGGAGCGCAGCACAAGUCGCACUCUCUAUCAGCAAAGGUCUAGCAUCCAUUAAGCCUUUUUUUCAACUUUUGACCUCGGAUCAGGUAGGGAUACCCGCUGAACUUAAGCAUAUCAAUAAGCCGGAGGAA